GUACUGUUAACAAUUAUUAGUAGUAGAAGUGCAGUGCUGUAUGCGUUGAUAAUUAAAACAGUAUCAUUUGCCUUCAAAGAUAUGUCAGACUGUGGGAUACCAAGAUAGGAGGAAGGAUGACCAAAUGUAUUGUAAGGUGUAAUGUGAUAUGCUGCAGUUAAGGCACCGUGGUACAGUGAAUGAAAGAUACGGUGAUUCUGAGAAGAGAAUCAGAGAAGCCUCCCAGUGAAGAUAACAUUGCCGAUGUGCGUUCAAUGAAAAGGAAGAUUUCAACAAGUGUCUCUGUAUAAUUUAGGCUUAUUUCCAAUGUGUCAUUUUAUAAACAGCAUGAAAUAUGGAUUCAGACAGUUGUGGGUUACUUUGAGAAAUAUUUGUUCACUGUAAACCUAGGCAAAUGAUUUGAGAUCUCCAUAAGUACUACAGGAAGACAAUGAUAGAACCAACUCAGUGUGGGCAGUGGGCAGGCAAAAAAACUGAGGAAGUUUGUACCGCAUUUUAACAACUAGGAGUUCACGAGGCAGGAAAGAAAUGGAGUCCAGCCUAUGAAAUGACACAAAGUUAUGAAACCCAGUGGUGUGUGUCAGGAUCCACAGACAGCUUCAUGUGACUAAAACGUAUAAUUAAAGGGAAUUGGCAAGACAUCAAAAUAAGAUACUUAGCAUUGUUAAUAAUACAAAGCUAGUAAAGGCAAAGCUCUCGUUGACUCCUGAAACAAUUCAAAGGGCUGGCUAACUGCACUUCUCAACAUUAUCUUUGCAUCUGUGCGCGACAGCUUAGAACUCACUGCUGUGGGGUAUUGAGUAAAACAUAAG
rnacentral:lncRNA from 1 species